CUACGGGGGGCUGCAGUCGGGAAUAUUGCGCAAUGGAGGAAACUCUGACGCAGUGACGCCGCGUAUAGGAAGAAGGUUUUCGGAUUGUAAACUAUUGUCGUUAGGGAAGAUAAAAGACAGUACCUAAGGAGGAAGCUCCGGCUAACUACGUGCCAGCAGCCGCGGUAAUACGUAGGGAGCAAGCGUUAUCCGGAUUUAUUGGGUGUAAAGGGUGCGUAGACGGGAAGACAAGUUAGUUGUGAAAUCCAUCGGCUUAACUGAGGAACUGCAACUAAAACUAUUUUUCUUGAGUGUUGGAGAGGAAAGUGGAAUGCCUAGGGUAGCGGUGAAAUGCGUAGAUAGUAGGAGGAACACCGGUGGCGAAGGCGACUUUCUGGACAAUAACUGACGUUGAGGCACGAAAGUGUGGGGAGCAAACAGGAUUAGAUACCCCGGUAGUC
rnacentral:rRNA from 1 species